rnacentral:rRNA from 1 species
AUUGAACGCUGGCGGCAGGCCUAACACAUGCAAGUCGAGCGAGCGGCGGACGGGUGAGUAAUGUAUGGGGACUGCCCGAUAGAGGGGGAUAACUACUGGAAACGGUAGCUAAUACCGCAUACUAUCGGAUAACCCAUAUGGGAUUAGCGAGUAGGUGAGGUAAUGGCUCACCUAGGCGACGAACCCUAGCUGGUCUGAGAGGAGGAUCAGCCACAAUUGAACUGAGAAACGGCCCAGCCUCCUACGGAGGCGGCAGUGGGGAAUAUUGGACAAUGGGCGCAAGACUGAUGCGGACAUGCCGCGUGUAUGAAGAAGGCCCUAGGGUUGUAAAGUACUUUCAGUCGGGAGGCGUUACCGACAGAAGAAGCACCGGCUAACUCCGUGCCAGCAGCCGCGGUAAUUC